CCCUGGCGCGGCCAGACACCUCAACGUGGUGCCAGGGUCUAGUACUCUUUGCUAGAGAGGAAGCUAAGCGCCUGCU
rnacentral:ribozyme from 1 species